AGGCCCCGGAAACAAAAUCAUGGGCUACAUUAUGGGUAAAGUAGAAGGACAAGGUGAGUCCUGGCAUGGACAUGUAACUGCAGUUACAGUGGCUACAGAAUAUCGCAGGCAGCAAUUAGCUAAAAAGCUAAUGAACAUCCUAGAAGACAUAAGUGACCAAAUUGAUAAAGCAUACUUUGUGGAUCUUUUUGUUAGAGCAUCAAAUACACCUGCUAUAAAGAUGUAUGACAAGCUUGGGUAUGUAAUCUAUAGACGAGUGCUACGCUAUUACUCAGGGGAGGAAGACGGGUUAGAUAUGAGGAAAGCUUUAUCAAGGGAUGUUGAGAAGAAGUCCAUCAUUCCACUCAAACGGCCAGUUACCCCUGAUGAAUUGGAAUAUGAUUAGACCUCCUUGACAAGUGAAGGUUAAGAUGAUGCUGAUAAUUGUAGUUCUUGAGAUGAAAGAAUAAGCUCUUAUAUCACCUGUUUAACUUGUGUCAAAAGAGAUCUAAACUCUGUGACUUUGAUUGUGAUGAUUUGAUUUGUUUGGCAUGAGAACAUUGAAGAUGAAAAAAAAAA
rnacentral:misc_RNA from 1 species